rnacentral:rRNA from 1 species
CCUACGGGUGGCAGCAGUGAGGAAUAUUGGUCAAUGGGCGUGAGCCUGAACCAGCCAAGUAGCGUGAAGGAUGACUGCUCUAUGGGUUGUAAACCUCUUUUAUAAGGGAAUAAAGUGAGGCACGUGUGCCUUUUUGUAUGUACUUUAUGAGUAAGGAUCGGCUAACUCCGUGCCAGCAGCCGCGGUAAUACGGAGGAUCCGAGCGUUAUCCGGAUUUAUUGGGUUUAAAGGGUGCGUAGAUGGGUUGUUAAGUCAGUUGUGAAAGUUUGCGGCUCAACCAUAAAAUUGCAGUUGAUACUGGCAGUCUUGAGUACGGUUGAGGUAGGCGGAAUGCGUGGUGUAGCGGUGAAAUGCUUAGAUAUCACGAAGAACUCCGAUUGCGAAGGCAGCUUACUAAGCUGCCACUGACAUUGAUGCUCGAAAGUGUGGGGAUCAAACAGGAUUAGAUACCCUGGUAGUC